GGGAGGGGUUGUUACCUUGGAGACACGUGAUGGGGGGAGGGGUUGGUUACCUUGGAGACACGUGAUGGGGGGUGGUUACCUUGGAGACACGUGAUGUGGGGGGAGGAGUUGGUUACCUUGGAGAUGAAGAUGGUGUUGAUCUUGGGGUUGUGUUUAAAGUUCUGCAGGAUCUGCAUCCUCUCUCCCUGAGAGGCGAGACAGGUUAGAUAUGGGGCCUGAGAGGAGAGACAGGUUAGAUAUGGGGCCUGAGAGGAGAGACAGGUUAGAUAUGGGGCCUGAGCGGAGAGACAGGUUAGAUAUGGGGCCUGAGAGGAGAGACAGGUUAGAUAUGGGGCCUGAGAGGAGAGAGAGACGUUAGAUAUGGGGCCUGAGGUACGAGGUAAUAACAUGGCUAUAUACACAUGGUACCAGUACUGAGUCAAUGUGCUGAGGUAUGACGUAAUAACAUGGAUAUAUACACAUGGUACCAGUACUGAGGUACGAGGUAAUAACAUGGCUAUAUACACAUGGUACCAGUACUGAGGUACGAGGUAAUAACAUGGCUAUAUACACAUGGUACCA
rnacentral:lncRNA from 1 species